UGAAGAGUUUGAUCCUGGCUCAGAUUGAACGCUGGCGGCAUGCCUUACACAUGCAAGUCGAACGGCAGCACGGGUGCUUGCACCUGGUGGCGAGUGGCGAACGGGUGAGUAAUACAUCGGAACAUGUCCUGUAGUGGGGGAUAGCCCGGCGAAAGCCGGAUUAAUACCGCAUGCGAUCUACGGAUGAAAGCGGGGGACCUUCGGGCCUCGCGCUAUAGGGUUGGCCGAUGGCUGAUUAGCUAGUUGGUGGGGUAAAGGCCUACCAAGGCGACGAUCAGUAGCUGGUCUGAGAGGACGACCAGCCACACUGGGACUGAGACACGGCCCAGACUCCUACGGGAGGCAGCAGUGGGGAAUUUUGGACAAUGGGCGAAAGCCUGAUCCAGCAAUGCCGCGUGUGUGAAGAAGGCCUUCGGGUUGUAAAGCACUUUUGUCCGGAAAGAAAUCCUUGGCCCUAAUACGGUCGGGGGAUGACGGUACCGGAAGAAUAAGCACCGGCUAACUACGUGCCAGCAGCCGCGGUAAUACGUAGGGUGCGA
rnacentral:rRNA from 1 species